AUGCUCCUUUCAGGGGCAUAUAUACUAAAAUUGGAAUGAUACAAAGAAGAUUAGCUUGGCCCCUGUGCAAGGAUAACAGGCAAAUUCAUGAAGCAUCUUAUAUUUCA
ensembl:snRNA U6 U6 spliceosomal RNA